rnacentral:rRNA from 1 species
GAUGAACGCUGGCGGCGUGCCUAAUACAUGCAAGUCGAGCGGACGGACGAUAAGCUUGCUUCUCUGAUGUUAGCGGCGGACGGGCGAGUAACACGUGGAUAACCUACCUAUAAGACUGGGAGAACUUCGUGAAACCGUAGCUAAUACUAGAGAAUAUUUUGAACCGCAUGGUUCAAAAGAGAAAGACGGUCUUGCUGUCACUUAUAGAUGGAUCCGCGCUGCAUUAGCUAGUUGGUAAGGUAACGGCUUACCAAGGCAACGAUGCAUAGCCGACCUGAGAGGGUGAUCGGCCACACUGGAACUGAGACACGGUCCAGACUCCUACGGGAGGCAGCAGUAGGGAAUAUUCCGCAAUGGGCGAAAGCCUGACGCAGCAACGCCGCGUGAGUGAUGAAGGUCUUCGGAUCGUAAAACUCUUUUAUUAGGGAAGAACAUCUGUGUAAGUAACUGUGGACAUCUUGACGGUACCUAAACAGAAAGCAACGGCUAACUACGUG